CACUGAGAUGCCUCAAACCCACCAGUGUUUGGGUGGCGAGGGGAUUCCAGGGUCAUGAUUUCAUCUGUGGUGCCCAUGGCAUAGAAACCCUCCUUCAGUCACUUCUAGUACUUCGGACUCAUUUCCUCUGCCCUGAAGCACUCUAAUUUCCCAAAGAAAAGAAGACAACAGCAAUUUGAGAAAUUCUCUGCCAAUUCUUUAUUUUACCCCCUAGAAGACAAAAGGCCCAGGAGAGAGAGCCAUGGGAGUACAACUCAGAUUAACACAUCACAAACAGCAAAACGAACGGUGGUUGCCCUCCAAAACACAUCUUCAUAAUGUGAUCACUGUGUGCCUAGAGGGGCCUGUUCUCACAUUUUUCUUUCCCCCUCCACCCAUACACCUCUGCAGCAGAUCCCUGCUGCCUGCUGCCAACAGGCCCUCUUUCUACCUUACCUUCUCCUGAGCUCCUGGAGAUGGGCCAGGUGGUGUGGCUGCAGCUCACGUGCUGAGAACUCCUGUUCUGGGGCCAACAUGCUUUUUCUUUUCUUGACAGCCCUUCAAGUUUCUCGAGAACCUGGGAACUGAGUGGCCCUGAGUGCCUGUACGAAGACCCCAGGGUCAUUAAUAACAUCUGCACGCUUCACUGGGGCCAUGCACGGCCUAGGUGCUCUCCACAGCUACAAGAUGCUCAAUCCUCCUCACACAAAGCUUGCAGCUUAAGGCCCAAGGCAGAAAAUCACUAAUUCCUGUGAUGACUUCCCAACCUGGGCCUCAGGAAUUCUUCAAAAAGAGAAUUUUCCGUAACAGGGGCCACGGGACAAAGCACAGAAAGAGCUGAGUGGAGAAAGGAGACCAGACAAACAUGGCAUUCAUGGGAAAAAAAAACAACAGUGCGUAUCCCCCUCAUUGAGAAGGUUUAUAAUGUAAGUUUGCAGUGAGCCAGUCCUGCCCCAGGGGUUUUACAGUCUCAACAACAAGGAUGAAAUAAGAGGAGUGGGAAGGAGGUAAACCUGUGAUUCUCUGCAUUACGCAGCAUAACUCUGCUUUGUUUACAGGUUGGAGACUUUUUAAAACCUAUAAAUAAACUGGAGAUGUUAAUGAUGCCAUUAAUCUUCGCUGGCCAACGUCCCAGCUAUUUUCAAUGCUGAGGUUACCUUGCAUCCCUCAGCAAACACCAGUCUCCAGGGGAGGGCUGGAUGCUGUGUGCCCGGCCCCGGGCCACUGCUCUCAGCAGGACACUGCUGCGUCCCUGGCUAUGCACCAGGACGUGUUCCCAGUGCUGGCCCUCCUGGCCCUGGGCCUGGAGGAAGCAAAGAAAAUAGUCAUCAGGGAAUAAAUGACAGGAGAGAAAGCAUGAUCUUCUUGCCUCCUGCUAGGAAAUGCCCUGAUGGAGACCCUUGCUUCUCUGGAGGUCUGGCAGCCUGCUCUCCUGCCUCUACCUUUCCAAGGGGAUAAAAGUGGCUACAUAUUACUCUUCUUCCACUCUUGCACAAAGUCGGUCUGAAAUAGCUCAAUUUAUAGGGACUGCAACACAUCCUUGCCUUGUCAGGUAUGGUGGGACACAGGAAAAACUCCAUCGUUCUUUAACAGCAUGGAGCUGCACCAGAAGGAGGUCAGCCUCAGUUUUAGGAAAAGGUUCUUUACCGGAGGGUGGUGGGCAUGGAAGAGGCUCUUCAGGGCGGUGGGCAUGGCCUCAGCUGCUGGAUUUGAGGAGUGUCUGGACAACAGUUGCAGACAUAGGAUUUCAAUUUUGUGUGUUCCUAUGUGAAGCCAGGAGUUAAGCUGAUGGUCCUUGUAGGCCCCUUUCAAUUCAGGAUAUUCUGUGAUUCUAUGAUUCUUCUCCUCACUGAGGUGUUAAUAUGGGAUCUGUUGAGGACAGUAACCCCAGGACCACGUCUGCCAGGGAAGGUGCUCAUGAUGCACCAGGGGCUGGUUUGGCUGCAGAUGCUGGUCUGGCAGCAGUUGCCAUGCUCCCUGGAUUCACCUCACCACUGUAGUAUGCUUUUGUUUAUUAUUUCUGCUACAAUAUGUCAGAAAUAUGAGUUCCUAGAAGAGUAAACAAGGAUUUCUCUCCUUUUAGAAACAAGGUUCACACUUACUGGAAAUAAGUCCCUUUGAAAACCAAGCCUACAGGGUUUUCCUUUGAACUCCCUGCUUGGAUACCCAAGAUGGUCAGACACAGCCACAUGUGGCUAGAGAAACAAAUGUUCCUGUACCACCAGAUAAUGAAGCUGGCCAACAUUCUAUUUUCUGUAACCUGCCAAGAAGUUGCAACACCCUCUCAGCAGUAGCACAGAGGAGUCAUUCACACCCUGGUCCCAAGCAAUGUUUGGCUAUGGAAGUUAUGAGAAUUUUCUCUCCUGAAGCACUCAGCAUUGUGAUGCAGUUUCCUUACCUUCUCAGAAAGCACACACAGUUUUCUCUGUGCUGUUUACUUUGUGCUGUUUACUGUUAUUUCCCAAUUUCUUAAUACCUAUUGUUGUCUGGAUGCCACUUCCUAUAAAGUAUUCACAAAGGACUAUUAAGAGAAGUUUGGAUGUUUUUCUUUACCUUACUAAUGACAUUUCUGGGCCUGUGUCAGCAGUUUCUCUGUGGAGAUCCAACCCUCCUGACCUGACUUGAAACUCACAAGUAAAGCAUCCUGCUCUCCCUCAGGAACUGCAAUGAAAUUCAUUUAAUUUAUUUGGAUUUUACUGCGCUUCCUUGAUGAUACACAAUGGACAAUAUGAAAGCACUGUUAAUGCCACAGCUUCCAAGCCAUCUAACCUCUUUUGGGGAUCCUAAAGGCAGGGAAAACCACAUAUAAAGGACAAUGGCAUUUCAUCAGAGAGGUUUGCUCUCCAUAUAGAAGAUGGCUGCAUUUAGAGAGUUAUCCACCUACAUCCUACUGGGAUAAACUGGAGCAACACCAACCUCAAAAAGGGAGUGGGGAAAAAAGCCCCUCAAAAUCCCAUUUUUUCUCCUCAUAUUAUUCUGUGCCUGGUGAAACAGUGCGUCUGGUGAGCAACCAGCUGGCAUCAGACACACAGAGGUCCUCCAGACAGACUCGACUGAACAUUCACCUUGACGAAGUAAUCAACUUGUCAAGCACAGGAAGUCUUCGCAGCCAGACCGAUGAUGGAGGGUAACCAAUACUCCAUCUGCAGCAGCAAGCAGUCAAGGAUUUGAAAUAUUACAAGGCAGGAAACCUGAAAUGUUGGAGAAGAAAGAGUAUGUAGACAAGGGGAUAGAUUAGCAACAUGUAUGGGCCAGAAAAAUGAAAAAAAAAAAGCCAGAAAUGUUUCAUAUUGGCCCCAAAUGAAUAGCAGCCCCAAAUGAAGUGGUUAAGGCUUGUUGCAUAUGGUGAAAACACAGGCUAAGCCAAGCAAACAAUCUCAGGCUAGUGGCACAGAAGAAAUAAUCUCUCUAGAGCAAGAAAAGGCAUCUGUUUCUUCAUCCCAGUUAUGAAAACACUCAUGUCCAAUGUGAGCAGUGCUGAGUGCUCGGUGGGCAGGUGACACCAUCUCCCAGCUCCUGAGGGGGACAGGCAGCCACUGCCCUGUAUGUGAUGCCUGCAGGCAGCCUGGCUGAGCUCCAGCACAGGGGUAUGAUGCUCCUGCUCCUGCAGAUCCCGCUGCUGCAAAGCAGGGCCUCUGGCAGUGGUGGUGUCAGGACAGUUCCCCACGCUCUCCCAAAGCAGCACCUUGACACUUGAUUGCAUAAAAAAGGCUCUUAAUGGCAAAGCCAGCUAAAAUAUUUCCUGCCUGCUGACCUAUCAUUACUGCUUAGAAAAAACACCAAAUAAAUAUAAAUCCUAAGUGGGGGAGUUCUCUGCUUAGCAUACAGAUAACGCGCUGCGAUCCAGAGGUAGGAAGGUGCAGCUACAGCAGGGACAGGAGGUGCUGCCAAAGAUUAUCCCAAACAGUGGCCAUUUCUUUCCACAUUUCCAAAAGGAGGAAGAGAAGGGCAACAGUGCCUCAGGGGGACAACCACUGGAGCUGAGCCCCACACCAUGCGACCCACUGCCUGCAUCUACUGCCUGGAAUGCCAAUGGCUGAGGAUCCACACCCCAUCUGGACAAGACACCUGGGAGACCGAGAUGUAUGUACAGUGGACAUAGAAAUGUGAAACUCACUUGUUAGUGUUGAUAAUUAACUAUUUGCCUAGGAGAAUGUGCUGGAACUGUUUCUUUGGAAGGCUGCUUCCAAGGCAGCAGGAGCCCAUGGCUGCACUGUGUAGGUCACACCAGAUGCACAGAUGCAGAAGCUCCUUCUUUGCUCCUAAGUGGGUGCUGAACAGACAAUGGGAUUCAAGAAAACUGGAAAUCACCACUGCUACACAAACCCAGCAUUUCAGUGUACCCUGAUGGAACAGAGCCUUCUAUGUGCAAGUCUGAACAGAGACUGUAGCUACUUUGGGUUUCUCACCAGUCCUGGAGGAGAUAAGCCAGUCAUGAGAUUCAUUCUCUAGUCAGGUCUCUGUAGUAGUACGAUUGUUUCCUCUGUAACCACUCAAUGGGAACCAGUGCUUUCUCUUCUGUAUUCAGCUUUUCGUUUCUUUGCUGGAUGCAAAAACUUUGACAUUCACCUUAAGGAUGUUUCUUUUCAGUUGCUUCGUGUUUCCUUUUGUCAAGCUCUUCUAGCAAUAUUAACUGCAACUAAUGAAUUGACUCACAGCUGAACCUUGCCAGUCUUUUAAACCCAGCGCCGCUUUAGAUCUCGAUUGCUGGUUUAAUUUUUAACCCUCCUAGAACUGCUGCGUUCAAGCUAUCCCACUGCAUACCACAGUCUGGAGUUGGUUCCUGGUUACAUGGCGUGGCAGCUGUGGGCAGUACACAUCAGUCAGGCAUGCUGGGGGACUCUGCUUCUUCUGCAUGUUAUCCACAGGAAAUAGUUCACAGCAGAAGUUCAUCAGAAUCCUGGAAAAGAAAUAGUUUAGGCUUCUGAAAAAUGAUGCAAAUGAUGAGCACACAUUUCACUAGCAUUGUACACAAGCAAUAUUAGGUAAAUGCACGUUUUUCCAGAUCCUCUUGUCUGUUUCUCAUAUCUGAGCACAUCCUUGGAAAUGAACAGGAGUCCAGAGUUUUAGGUUAGAAUCCUUGUUUGAUCCUGUACCAAGUUGGACAGAUUUGCAGAUGCUGCCCUCUCAAGUCCCAUGACUACUUACAGGGGCUGCAGGUGUCCACCUGCUGUGAAAGCCAGGGCAUUUGUACUUUGGCAACUCACAGGUGGUUCAGGCAUGCAAUUUUCAUCAGUUUGACUUUCAGUUCUAAAAUUCUGGCCUAGAGGUAAGCAGAAAACUGGAAUUUGUUGCCCAGAGUCCGGAAACACGUUGGCCAUUCGGGUGCCGGAGUUCAGACUGAAAUGAAGGCUCCUCACUUGUCAGAAGGCUUCAAACAAAACAGGAAGUUAUUAAUAUCAGAGGCUGAGCUGACUGGAGAACCAAACAAUAUGAAGCAGAACGUGUCUCCCCAUUUUCCUGUUUAUCUCUUGCUAUUUUAGAACACAGGGGAGAUGAAGAGUCACAGUUUCUCCAUUACAGUGUGGUGCUACAAGGCAGCGAAUUCGAGGUCACAGACUGUCCGUCAUCACAGCACAGAUACAGCAUCUCUCUCCUACAGCCUCUAAAGCUUUUGCCAUGCUUUGAAACAAAUAUGCAACCAAUUUUGAAAUGAUGGAGUGGAACACAACAAAAUGAUGCAGUGCAGCAGCAUGCAGGAGUUCAGAGAAAGUGAGCAGUAGUGAAACUACAGGAGAGGGUGACAGCCUGGCUGGAUAUAAUUAGCUUAGAAAAACACUGGAACUAACAAACUUUCUCCCGAGAAAGAGCCAUUAGAUUUUUAAUUAACACGGGUCAUUAGGAUUACAGUUCCUCGCUACGGCUGAAUGAUGGUUUAUCAAAGAGGACAAAAUCGCUCGCAGUGAGAGGAAAGAAAAGAUACCGUACGUAUUGGGUGACCACUUAUGGGACAGAAAUGAGCAAAACUUGCAGCAUUUUUCCCUUAUUCAGAGGUUGGGGCUUCUGCUUCCCCCCCUCCUCCCCUACCUUUUGCUAAGCCACUCACAGCUGUCUGAGGCAAAUUCCUAGAACCAGACUACCACCAGAGAGCCUUCCUCCUCUCUGACUUACACCAGAGCACUACUUGUGGAGAAAACCUUUACACGUUAGAAACAACUUCUUCUCAGAAAGAGUGAUGAGGCAGUGGCACAGCUGCCCGUGGUGGUGGUGGACUCACCAUCCCUGGAGGUGUACAAGAACCAUGUGAACGUGGCACAGGACAUGGUCAGUGAGCAUGGUGGGGAUGGGUCGGCACUUGGACGUGAUGAUCUUGAAGGUCUUCUCCAACUACAAUGAUCUAUGCUUCUGUCAUUCUACAAGAGAAAAAAAAAAAAAAGAGGAAUUUGCUCUUCUAUCCUUGAUAAGGCCUCAGCUGCAAAUAAAAAAAAAUAAGGCAGUCUUAAAAAUAAGUGCUCUGAAGGAUUCUCUUUGCUGUCCAAAGCAUACAGUCAAAAGAUACCUCAGAGCGGAUCCACUCAGGACCUUAUAUGGCUUUCCCCCAGUACCAUAUCUGAAUGCCUCCCAGCCUCUUAGGUGUUGACCUUGUGUGCCUUAGGGUACAGAAGUGCUUUUCUUAGAGAAUAAGGGACAAAGACCGAGAGCCUACCAAGGCAUUCACUGGCAAAGCAGAAACCUGGCUGCAGCUUGCCUAACACCUGAACGUCCUGACACACCCUCUUCUCCCAAAAAUGUGGGAAAAGAAGAAACAAAAGCAAAGCCAUAAACCAGUGGUUAAAGUCAUUUGCGAGCCCUCACUGCAACCUCCCAGGCAGCGAUCACUGCAGAUCCUGGCUGGUUUUGCUGAUAUCACACUACCUUUCCCCUCUCGGGGUUUCUGCUGCAUCCCAGCACAAGUUGGGAGCUGCCUGGGGCAGAACCUUCCCCAUUCAUUUGCAUGUGACACCCAGUAUAAUAGGGUCUGAGAAUCACGUUAUUUCAUGCCACUCGUGUCUGCCUUGUGAAAGCCGUGAACGGCUGACACAAGUGAAAUACGAACGAGAGAGUGCCAUCUGUGCACACCAGGCAGCUUUCACCUUCUCUACUCGCUUUGGGAUUUCUGACUUUCAGGGAGAUUAUUUAGGGUGCAGACGAUAGCUCCUGGGGGUGAUGAGGAUCUGGCCAGUGAGUCAAACUGAACCUGGAAGCCCUGCCUGUGGCAGAGGAAUUUAUAGGAAUGAGACCCGGCAGAUGAAUUGUUUAUGAAAACUCUGACAUCCCAGCUGCUGCUGUGAAGGAUUUACGCAGAAGAGAUGUGUGUAUUCCUGCUCCACUACUGCCUAUUCCUAUGUAUUUCCUUUCUCCCUGCCUGUCAAGGCUUUGCUCGGAAUAUAUUGAUGUACACUGUUCCUGAAGAGUCUUGGGAAAGAAUCUAGCGGGUAAAGAUGUGCUUCAAAGCAGCUCUUCAAACAUCUGUUAGUACUUACUGCACAAAUAUUUAGCGCACUGCAGGACAGAGCUGCCUGUAGCUUCAAGGCAAACACAAAUGCUAAGAGGUAUUAAAUGCUCUUCAGUAUAAACAAGGGAGCCUGGAAUGGCUUACCGGUUAGGUGGUAAUGGGAGGGGAAAGCUACAUCAUGUACUUAAAGCCCAGUCCUUUUCCCAGUUUAUUCCCAUCUGGCAUUAUUCCCACUCUCCUGCCAGGUGAAUGAAGAGAUCACGUGGCUGGCUGGAAUCCCUGCAUCACCUCCGGGAAGGAUCUGCAGUUCUGGUGCACGGCGGGGACAGAAACACAGCACCGGUGCUGUAAGGACAUGGCACCAACACUCAUCUCGAUGGGCACAAAGCGCCAUGAACAACAUCUCAGUAUCUCUAAUUCACAGUCUUCUGCACUGUCUAACCCCACCUCCUUGGAGAUUUCAACUAAAACACAAUUUGGAGCAGCUCUGCCCUGGAUGUAUGUUAUCUCCUGCCAACUGCUGCAGGGACAGUCAUCUGUGCCAGCAGAGCAGUAAUAAACAGCUGGGCUGGUCGCCUUCAGUCACCUCGGCAUGAUUUGCUGGAGCUCAUUUGUCAGAGCCCUAAAUCACAGCACAAAUGCUGGAAAACAGCCUAAAAUGGAUACACACGGAUCUCAAAACCUGCAGAUUCUCUGAAAGCAUGCAGUGUAGGCCAAAAAGCAGUGCCUCCCCGAGGACAGCUGAUGUUGGUUCACUGAUUCAAAUAGCAUCAACAGUCACAUUGACACCGGUGUCUCUAGAGGUACAGAAACAUCCCUGCCAAUGACAAGGUAGUCACUGCACAGGUAGAAGUUUCUAAUGCAGAUCCGAUUCAGUCCUGCCUUUCUGGAGCUGAAGAGGCCUUUUCUAUCAUGCUGAGUUAAUGCAACUGAGCCAACAGGAAUUAAAGCUAUGCCCUUUUCUGCCUGUUGAGACACAGUGAAAGAAAGCAGCCACCUUAAAUCAAAGGGUCCAGAUUCAGGGAGGUGCUCGAGCUAGAAAUCAGAAGGCAGUUUACAGAUACUUUGAUAACUUGAGCUUUUAUCAUUCCACAGGCCCCGGAGAUCAGUUGGUGAGAGCUGAGUGAGUUUCCUCAUAUGGUAUUUGAAGGCAAAGUCAAUCCACAUUUGCUUCCCAACAGGCAAGCCCAGACAGCUACAGUGAGUUAUAAAAAGGGGAGAUUAAACACAAGUUUUGCAGUGCUACUCUCUGAAGAGAUACAAUCGGUUCUACCGUUUGUGCUUAGGAGUUAGGAGUCUAAAUCAGAUGCAGGCAGCUUUGAAGCACCAGUUUUCUCAAGAAUAUCCCUUGCUUUGUCCUAUCUUGAAAACUGAAUUGUUUAGCUAUUAAAAGAGAUUAAUGUAAUCUCUAUGUCUAUGAAAUUGGAUUUUGAAACUGCUUGCUCACUGUACUACCGUGAGCGCUGUGAAUAAAGCCUCUGCUCCUGCUCGUGUUGCUACAAACUGUGGGUCACACCUUGUACGGGCCAAGAGCGUGUUGGCAUCACACAAGGGCAAAGUGACAAUAUGAGAGGCCACAGAGCCAGGCUGGAGUCUGGGGGAUCAGAAUGGACAUUAGGAAGGCAUCUCUCAGAGAGAGGAACUCCCCACCCCCGGGACUUUGAAGAUUUGGCCUGACAGUGCCAAGGCUGACC
ensembl:lncRNA